rnacentral:rRNA from 1 species
CCUGCAUGCAUAACACAUGCAAGUCGAACGUGCAGCACAGUGUAGCUUGCUCCUGGGUGGCGAGUGGCGGACGGUAGGAAUACAUGGGAAUCUGCCCAAUCGUGGGUGGAUAACGUAGGGAAACUUACGCUAAUACCGCAUACGACCUAAGUGGUGAAAGCGGCGGACCGCAAGGCGUCGCGCGAUUGGAUGAGCCCAUGUCGGAUUAGCUAGUUGGCGGGGUAAAGGCCCACCAAGUGCGACGAUCCGUAGCUGGUCUGAGAGGAUGAUCAGCCACACUGGAACUGAGACACGGUCCAGACUCCUACGGGAGGCAGCAGUGGGGAAUAUUGGACAAUGGGCGCAAGCCUGAUCCAGCCAUGCCGCGUGAGUGAAGAAGGCCCUCGGGUUGUAAAGCUCUUAUGUCCGGAAAGAAAAGCUUUCGGUUAAUACCCGGAAGUCCUGACGGUACCGGAAGAAUAAGCACCGGCUAACUUCGUGCCAGCAGCCGCGGUAAUACGAAGGGUGCAAGCGUAACUCGGAAUUACUGGGCGUAAAGCGUGCGUAAGUGGUUCAGUUA